CCUAAAUCGGAGCACGGCUCUAAGUGAAUCACUUUAGUUGAGAAAGAAAUAAAAACACAAACGUAUCCUUUGAGCAACGGUGACUUUCGAAGUGGUGAUGAUUUGAAAUCGAACGGUCCUGCAAAAUCAAGACCGGUGUUGAACGCUCUGGCGGUGCUCUUGAAUUCGCAACUUUUUGUUAUCGAUAAGUUCCAUUCCUCACUUUGUUUCUGGUAUAGCAAAACAGCUGUUUUAGCUAUUUCAACAAGUUAUAAAUUAACAAAAAUGCCUUUCAUUUUUUCACUAGCGUGUUUUGAAGCAAAAAGAUUAAAGAAAAAGACAGAAUUGAGGAGACUAAAGCAUUUAAGGGCAAGGUCAGAUAUUUGUACUAUGCCAGACGAAAGUUUCUUAAAGUCAUUCCGGGUGGACAAAGACACGUUUAAAAUUAUUCUACAAAAGCU